rnacentral:rRNA from 1 species
CAGCAGCCGCGGGAAUACGUAGGGUGCGAGCGUUAAUCGGAAUUACUGGGCGUAAAGCGUGCGCAGGCGGUUGUGUAAGACAGGUGUGAAAUCCCCGGGCUUAACCUGGGAACUGCGCUUGUGACUGCACAGCUAGAGUAUGGCAGAGGGGGGUGGAAUUCCACGUGUAGCAGUGAAAUGCGUAGAGAUGUGGAGGAACACCGAUGGCGAAGGCAGCCCCCUGGGCCAAUACUGACGCUCAUGCACGAAAGCGUGGGGAGCAAACAGGAUUAGAUACCCCCGUAGUCCCUGUCUCUUAUAC